ACCCAAUUAAUAAGAAAGGUGCCAGUCUCAAUUUAGGAAAUUCCUUCUCUCUCUCCCUUCUCUUUCUCCGUCGAUCUCACCAUCGUCAUUCUCUCUCUCUCUCUCUCUCUCUCUCACACACACACAUACACACACACACACACAGAAACACACACGAAGAGAGGAGAGCAAAGGAAUGGCGUGAUUCAAAGCCACUGCCUUCACCAAUCGAGCACCAGCAGUACCACCAUCCGGCCUCAAACUCGUCAUCUCCAAGCCCCAUCGCUUGUCUGACCUCGACCACAACUCGGUUAGUUGAAUAAUUGCACUCUCAAUGUUUAUUCUUGAUUUACUUUGGAGUUUUGAUUCAGGGAUCUAUUUUAGGUUUUCAAUUUCGGUUCUCGAUUUUGGGGUUUUGUUUUGGGAUUUCAAUUUUGAGGGUUUCGACUCCAGGUUUAGUUUGGGGCUGCUCUACUUUGAACUUUAUUGAUAUGCUCUAGGUUUGAACUUUUUAUGGGCUUAAUAUUUGAGUUUGAAAUCACAUGUAACACAAAUCUGCCCGCCACCUGUUCAACUUUUUUUCCCAAUUAGUUUCUGUCUGUAGAACAAUGGUGUGGAUGGUGUUUAAAAGGGAUGGUUAUGCAAAUGGUAGAGGAGGAAAAAAAUGAAAUGGGUGUGGUGAAUUUAUAUGUGGGUAAUCUCAAAUGGAUGUUGUUUGGCUAGGCCAAAUAUUCAACCACUAUGAACAAGUGGUUAUUGAUGUUGCCCUAAGAUUAGCAUUCUCCUGUGUGUAUGUCUAUUGGUGCGCGGUCGAAAAUUUAACCCAAUUGGUUACUGUAGAUGAUUAGUGAUUCCAAUUCCUUGAGAUGUUUAUUCUUCUUAUUGGGGGAGUGUGUGUGUGUUUAUUUGUCACCUUCUGUUGAGUUCUUUAUUUGUGUACAAACUAUGGAUGUGAAGAUGCUGGAGGACGUGAAGCACUUGACCAAGCUUUUGCAAAAUUUUCGUUGCUGAAUCAGCAAUAGUUUGUUUGCAGGUUUGCCUAGUGUUAACUGUCUUUUUCCUUACCAUAUGUGCGCCCUCAUGAAGCUUUGUUAAUAAGCUCUUCUCUAUCACAAUAAGUUUUUCUCAGGUACCCAUGCCAUCACUUGUGCUUUGUUUGCUUUCUUAGGCCUGGGCAUGAGGGACUCUCAUGGAUUGGGUUCCUUGCAAGAUUUUGGAGUGAAGUACCGAGAAGUGCCCCUUGCAGAGGAUAGCAGGCUUGAUUGAAAUGUGCUUGAGGGUGCAGUGACAGCUUGCAGAAGAUGGCAGGCUUAACUUGAAUUUUGCUCUCCCCUAUCGAGGUAUGUUCUACUCAUUUGAGCACACCUUUCAAUUCCAUCAUGACAGAUUUCCAGCAGACGUCUAACAUUUUUUGUUGGCCCGAUCCAAUGUUCUUCAUGAAAGACCUGAAAAUAGUUACAAUCGCAAACGUGGUGUCAAGAACAAGGUUCAUUGAAGUUUUGUGUUCGCAUGGUCAUGUUGUAAAAUUAGAUCUAUGCCACUUUGUGGGUGAUUGAGGUGUAUAGGAAGGAUCGAGUUUGUUUUUCUUUUUUUCAUUUGUGUAUGUUAAGGUUGGAUACUCUGACCUCGAAAGACUAAAGAAUCAUCUAAUGAGUAGUUUUUGGAGUUGGGAAAAGUACUAAGUCAAAUUUAUUCAACUCAUAUUUGUUGUUGUGGUGUGCUGAUAUUGCAAUCAUGAACUAUGAAUUACAUGCAGGAAGUGAAUUUGAUAUUGAGUGCUGAAAAUUAGUAUAUUGUUUAGAUAAAGAGUUGGAAUAUGAUAUUUUUGUUGCUUAAUAUAACAUAAUUGUUACUGAAAUUAGCUGACUGCUGAAAUUGUAAAGAGAAAGCUAGAACUAUAGACUUAAGUCUUGGAGUUUGAUGUUAAAUGCUGAAAAUGGAUUAGUUUGCUGGAUAUUGAGAUGAACUACUGAAAUGCAAUGUUUUAGAGCAUUCAAUGUUAGUUACUAGCUACAUAUUUGUCGAAUAAUACCAUUAUCUUAACCACCGUGGUCCAUGUUGUCACUAACCAACAAAACCGCCCUAAAAAGAAGAUGAAAUCCCAAAGCCUAAUAGUGCAAUUGUUUUUUUUUACUAUAUACUGUUUUGUUUUCAUUGUUGAGAUUAGUCUUCUUUGUGGGGUAGUUGGCCUCACCUCUCAUCAAGUUAGUCCCUCUCAGCAGAUAUUAGGGACCAAGAAGAUUUUUUGAGCCUCCCACUGAAAUUACUCUCAGCCGUUUGAUGUGCAAACAGUGUUCUUUCCCUCUCUUUCCCCUCUUAUGGUAUAAAGGUAGCAAGAACAACCUCCGAGUUGUGUUAACCAAAGCCGAAAGAGUUAGAGAUAGCAGUGGUCAAUAAGUAGAAACUAGGUUAGUUUAAAUCCAUGUAUCCGCCCACAAUGGUCCCCCUGGUUGGGGCAACUCACAAAGAGUCACACCUCAACCAAGAGUUGUAUCCACUUCUUUCGCUAGAAGUAUCCCUGGUAGUAUCCACUUCAACACUAGAUUCAUCAGCGAAAUUAGUGAUCUUUAUAAACAAAACAGGAAGCAAAUUAGCUUCUGCUGCAAUUCUGGGAUUUCCAGCAACAAACGGCUUGCUAUGAAGCAUAGAUGCCGAAACAGGACAGAAAUAUGAUACGAUACGGAUUCUACGAUGCAAGAAAAUUUUGU